AGUGAACGCUGGCGGUAGGCCUAACACAUGCAAGUCGAACGGCAGCACAGUAAGAGCUUGCUCUUACGGGUGGCGAGUGGCGGACGGGUGAGGAAUACAUCGGAAUCUACUUUUUCGUGGGGGAUAACGUAGGGAAACUUACGCUAAUACCGCAUACGACCUACGGGUGAAAGCAGGGGAUCUUCGGACCUUGCGCGAUUGAAUGAGCCGAUGUCGGAUUAGCUAGUUGGCGGGGUAAAGGCCCACCAAGGCGACGAUCCGUAGCUGGUCUGAGAGGAUGAUCAGCCACACUGGAACUGAGACACGGGCCAGACUCCUACGGGAGGCAGCAGUGGGGAAUAUUGGACAAUGGGCGCAAGCCUGAUCCAGCCAUACCGCGUGGGUGAAGAAGGCCUUCGGGUUGAAAAGCCCUUUUGUUGGGAAAGAAAAGCAGCAGGUUAAUACCCCGCUGUUCUGACGGUACCCAAAGAAUAAGCACCGGCUAACUUCGU
rnacentral:rRNA from 1 species